rnacentral:rRNA from 1 species
CCUACGGGAGGCAGCAGUGGGGGAUAUUGGACAAUGGGGGAAACCCUGAUCCAGCGAAGCCGCGUGCGUGAAGAAGUCUUUCGGUAUGUAAAGCUCUAUCAGCAGGGAAGUAAGAAAUGACGGUACCUGAGUAAGAAGCCCCGGCUAACUACGUGCCAGCAGCCGCGGUCAUACGGAGGGGGCAAGCGUUAUCCGGACUUACUGGGUGUAAAGGGAGCGUAGACGGUGAUGCAAGUCUGGAGUGAAAGGCGGGGGCCCAACCCUCGGACUGCUCUGGAAACUGGGUAACUGGAGUGCAGGAGGGGCAGGCGGAAUUCCUAGUGUAGCGGUGAAAUGCGUAGAUAUUAGGAGGAACACCAGUGGCGAAGGCGGCCGGCUGGACUGUAACUGACGUUGAGGCUCGAAAGCGUGGGGAGCAAACAGGAUUAGAUACCCGAGUAGUC